UACGAAGGGGGCUAGCGUUGUUCGGAAUUACUGGGCGUAAAGCGUGCGCAGGCGGCUUUCCAAGUCAGUGGUGAAAGCCCGGAGCUCAACUCCGGAAAUGCCAUUGAAACUGUGAAGCUUGAGAACGAGAGAGGAGAGUGGAAUUCCCAGUGUAGAGGUGAAAUUCGUAGAUAUUGGGAAGAACACCGGUGGCGAAGGCGGCUCUCUGGACCGAUACUGACGCUGAGGCGCGAAAGCGUGGGGAGCAAACAGG
rnacentral:rRNA from 1 species